UGAGGCAGGAGAAUUGCUUGAACCCAGGAGGUGGAGGUUGCGGUGAGCUGCGAUCGUGCCACUGUACUCCAGCCUGGGUGACAGAGCAAGACUCCAUCUC
rnacentral:miRNA from 1 species